rnacentral:rRNA from 1 species
GACAGAGGUGGCAAGCGUUGUUCGGAAUUACUGGGCGUAAAGAGUCUGUAGGUGGUUUGUCAAGUCUUUGGUGAAAGGCCGUAGCUUAACUAUGGGAAUGCCAAAGAGACUGGCAGGCUGGAGGCUGGGAGAGGGAAGCGGAAUUUCUGGUGUAGCGGUGAAAUGCGUAGAUAUCAGAAGGAAGGCCGGUGGCGAAGGCGGCUUCCUGGAACAGUCCUGACACUGAGAGACGAAAGCGUGGGGAGCAAACAGGGAUUAGAUACCCUGGUAGUCCACGCCCUAAACGAUGGGUACUAAGUGUGGAGGGGUUAAACCCUCCGUGCCGCAGCAAACGCAGUAAGUACCCCGCCUGGGGAGUACGGCCGCAAGGUUGAAACUCAA